rnacentral:rRNA from 1 species
CCAGACUCCUACGGGAGGCAGCAGUGGGGAAUAUUGCACAAUGGGGGAAACCCUGAUGCAGCGACGCCGCGUGAGCGAUGAAGUAUUUCGGUAUGUAAAGCUCUAUCAGCAGGGAAGAAGAUGACGGUACCUGACUAAGAAGCCCCGGCUAACUACGUGCCAGCAGCCGCGGUAAUACGUAGGGGGCAAGCGUUAUCCGGAUUUACUGGGUGUAAAGGGAGCGUAGACGGCGAUGCAAGCCAGAUGUGAAAGCCCGGGGCUCAACCCCGGGACUGCAUUUGGAACUGCGCGGCUGGAGUGCAGGAGGGGCAGGCGGAAUUCCUGGUGUAGCGGUGAAAUGCGUAGAUAUCAGGAGGAACACCGGUGGCGAAGGCGGCUUACUGGACUGUAACUGACGUUGAGGCUCGAAAGCGUGGGGAGCAAACAGGAUUAGAUACCCCAGUAAUA